CCAGAUUUGAACUCAGGAAGAGGAGUCUUUCAGACUGCAGGCCCAGCACUCUACCCAUUGAACCAACUAAACAUAAUUCCCUAGACUUUAUCAGACUGCCAAAGUUGUUUGUGACAUAUACACAAAAGGGUUAAGAGCCCUGGACUGGUUGAUCUCCAGCUCUAAAUCUGUGCUUCCAUGACCCUGUUCAGCACUGCAAUGGUAAUAUAAAAAGGAAAGCUUUGUGUUACUUUUGAAGAAGAAAAAAUGUUGGUCCUGUAGCCUCCAUGAACCAAAUCUUGAAGGUCAGAGGAAAUGGAAAAGAGAGAGGCAGCAACUCAUAACAGUUGUGGGAUUCUUUUUUCUUUUGGAGUUUCACAGGGAAUGGGUACAGAAGCGCAGGAAACAAAUGACCCAGAGGAGAAGGGGCCACCUUUCAGCCUGCUGCUGGAUGUAUGGAGUUUACUCCCACAUUGAGAAAGAAGUUGGCUGCUUCUUAGGCAGCUUCCAGCCUUCCUAAGGAAGGUCUCAUGUUUACCUUUGCAAGGACAAUUAAGUGGUAGGAAUGUGUAAUAAAGGGCUGGGCUGCCAAAACAAAUAGCAUUCUUAAAAUGUAAUGUAGAAAUGGCCAUUGUUGCUGCUGCUUCUGCAGACUUCGGAAACCACUCUUUAAUGACUUAAUCCCAUUUCUCUGCAGACAGGCCUAUCCUAUAGCAGAGAAGAGACCAUGUGGUCUGAUGGUUAGAGAGAAAGUCUGGAAACCAGAAUAAACCCAACUUUUUACAACAUAGCUGAGCAACUGACUCACGCUGUAACCUGGGGUAAAUCCUUUAACCUCUGGGGACUCUUGUCAAGCCAGCUGGAAAAUUUGCUGGGGACUCAAGCUGGGGAGAACCAACAUAUAAAAUCCUCAGUGGGAAAAAAAAGAAAAGAAAAAUUCUGGGAACCCAGAGCCUAGCCCACAGGGCAGAUACUCUGAGAGAUUCUCCUAACAGACAAUGACUGGACCCAAAGCUGGAAGCUGCCCAUAGGAGGGAGGUGAAAAGCCUAGAAGAGCCUGGAUCAUGGAAGCAUUAGGAAGUCCAGGAUUCUAAGAAGCAUAGGUGAGGAAAGAGUCUUCCAGGCAUGAGGAUGAUGAGUAAGAACAAAGGAAAUUUACGGCAAAUGGAAGCAUGACAGAGACGGCCCAGUACGUCAUUUCACAGCAAUACUGGUGAAGGGAACAAUGUAAAGGCAUCCUAAUUCUCACUGACUGGUAUCAGGAAAAGGAGCUUUGCAGAGAGAGACAAUACAACUGAAUCGAUGGGAGAUGGGAGACCUACCUUUAAUGGAGAGCCCUUUCUCCAAAUGGCUCUGGGCAAACCACUUAACCCCCUCCAGGUUUCAAUUUCCACUUCUGAGAAAUAAGUGGAAAAGUGACAGAUGUGUGACUACAUUCUAGGAGUGUUCCCAUGAUUAACUAGGCACAUAAAAUGAAAAAGGAGGUCUUACUAUGUGUGGUUAAAAAGAAAGACAAUCAGGAAAAGUUUUUCUUUCAUUUUUUUAAUUCUAGCACCUAUCCAUUCUUGACAGAAGAGACGGUUUCAUUCUUGAAUUCAUAUAGAUCAUGCAUUUUUAAAAAGCUAUAGAGUAAGAAAUGGUACAUCAGACAUGUAUACUUAUAAUAGAAAAGAAAAUCACAUACUGGAUAUAACUAACACAUACAUAUUUCUUUUUGCUACCUUUCUACUAUGUAGUCUAUGAAGCAAACCAUAAGGUGGAGAGAGAGAGAGAGAGAGAGAGAGAGAGAGAGAGAGAGAGAGAGAGAGAGAGAGAGAGAGAGAGAAACACAUAAAGACAGACAGAGAGAGAAAAUUCAUUUCUUAAGUAUUUGCUAUAUGAUGCAACUACAAGCAAAAAGAUAGUCCCUGUCCUCCAGGAGCUUACUUUUUAACCAGAGAAGACAACAUCCAAAAGGGAGUUGGAAAGUUGAGGUAAAGAGGAGGAAGGGUACUUAGGUACUUAGGAAUGAGGUCGAAAAGUCUGAAGAGUCAGGAGAUGAGCUUGGAAAGAAUGAGUAUGGAAGGUGUGGGUACUGCCUGAAUGGUGCUCUUGGAUAGGAAGUCACCAACAGAGGAGGGGUGGAGGCAGCUAUGUGCUGGUAAAUGUUUAACUAUUGGCUCUCUAGGGAGGAAAAAGUGAACAUGUGACACAGCUGUAGUUUAAUCUGCAUUAUUUAGUUUUCUCCAUCACUUUCUUAAGUACAGACAUUCAACUGAAGAAGACAUCAAGCCCUACUUUAUAGCAUUGACUGAUUUUUGAGGUGUAGGUGCUCACAUUGAAAACUGAACAAUCAGCUUUCAUGAAUCACUUAGAUCUCAUUGGUUGGCUCUUGUCCUUCAUUCUCAAAGAGGACCAAAAUGACAUCACUCUGUUGGAAUCAAGGUACAGCAUGUCCAACUGUGGCUGAUCAUAUCAACAUGAGCCAGGAAGACUCUACCACAGGUCAGACAUAAAUAGACCAUUUCUAAUGGAGUUGUCUCCAAAUUUGUGCAUCUCACAUUUCUUUUGAGCUACUGCAAUUCUUCUUUGCUCAUAGAGUACAGCACCUUCUUUGGUAUGGGCAUGCCAUGCUAGGUGGUCAUGUGCCAGUGGUUCCCAUGGCUCACAAUUGAUUCCAAAGUUCUUCAGAGAGACCUUGAGAAUAUCUUAUAUUGCUUCUUCUGACUGCCGUGUGGGCACCUGACUUGGGUGAGUUCUCUGUAAACUUUUUUUUAUUAAUUUAUUAUAAUCACUUCCAUAAGCUUUUUAGUUUUAAAUUUUUCUCUCCCUCC